rnacentral:rRNA from 1 species
UACGUAGGUGGCAAGCGUUGUCCGGAUUUAUUGGGUUUAAAGGGUGCGUAGGCGGCCUAUUAAGUCAGUGGUGAAAUAUUUCAGCUCAACUGGAAUUGUGCCAUUGAUACUGAUGGGCUUGAGUACAGAUGAGGUAGGCGGAAUUGACGGUGUAGCGGUGAAAUGCUUAGAUAUGACAUAGAACACCAAUUGCGAAGGCAGCUCACUAAGCAAAUAUUGACGCUGAGGCACGAAAGCGUGGGGAGCAAACAGG